rnacentral:tRNA from 1 species
AAACUUAGGUUAAUACAAANCCAGGAGCCUUCAAAGCUCCAAAUAUGGAA